AUGAUGACUAUAUAUGUACACAUCUUACACACUCCCACAGGUCUCUCACACCCUUUUUCCCUCCGGCCAGUCCUCAGCACUCACCCAGGCCACGUCCGGAAUGCCAGCCCACCUGGGAGCAAACAGUACUCGAGGAAUAAUCCUCAAGACCAAGAAACUGACUGGACUGCAACAUGUGAUGGGAGCAGGGAAAGAAGGAGAGAGCAUUCUUUAAAAUCAGGAAACGCCAGACCCAAAUGGCCCCACCUCGCCCUUCUGAAAGAUUGGGGAUAAUUUCAUGUUAAGUAAUCUGCGUCUGUGCUUCAUUGGCAAACCUACAUAAAAAGCGGAUUCUAUGAAUUAACCUGAAACUAUUUUGCAAAAGACAAGGAGCAAACGGUGUCGAAAUCCUUGGAGAGCUGAGGAUGUCUUUCCACAAGAUUUGUGAAAAAAGGUAACAGAAUAGUCAAGAGGUCUACAGAGUCCCACUUUCCCCCUUUCUUCUUCCUCCCCCGCAGACACCGACUCGAUUUACUUCUCUGUCCAGGGGUCUGGAGGAAGUGAGUGGGAAAGGUUUAUUAGAGAGGAGUCCGGGCCACUUGGAAGAGAAGUUCAAGUUCCCAACGAGGAGAAAGAGGGUUACGCUCGAAAGACUUGGAGAAGAGCGGGUUUAGUUAGCCCUUCUCUUUCCUGUACACAAAGACACGUUUUGGUGAAAUUCGCCGCCUCUGACGUUUCUCUCCUGUGAAUACAAAUAGCCAGGAGCCAAGGGGUGCAAAAGGAUAUCUCAGUCCGAGGAGCACUUCUUUCUAAGUGGGCAGUGUCCCCUUGACACUCGUCUUUCUAAGCGGGGCUGAGCCCGCAGCCCCCGGAUGCCCCCGCUUAACUUCGCCCCAGUCUGUCCUCGCCUGCUGCCAUUCCCCGGGCCACCAACCCUUCCCGCAGGGAAGGCGCCCAGGGAGUUGAGAAAGCAGGUCCUGCCAAGAGCCGCUGCCCCGGGCGGACCCCUAGCCCGCAGCCAAUGGGCUGGGCCCGGGUUCGAGAGGUGAAAGUUCAGGCCCAGGGCUAGCGGCUCGCUGCCCCUCUGCGCUCGCCUCUCUCCCAGCCCCCGCCCCCGGCCACAGUGCAGACACAGCCCGGCUACCAGGGGCUGCCACGGUGGCACGUAGUUUGUUGAUGGGUGGUCAUAAAAUAUAUUUAUUUGCAAUUCCUUUAACUCGCCCACCACCCCCGCCCCAGCCUGGCCCGGAACACUGCGGGCUUUGUUCGCCUAGCUGCUUGCUGGAGCCGGCCGGGGUUUAGCGCUCUGUGCUAACAGACUCCAAAAAAAGUUGAAGUGUAAUAAUAGGAAAACCGGGUUUCCGCAGCCGAGGAAAACGCUGAAAGGGCAAACAGCGAACGAAUAGUUUUCUUUUGCACAAGUCACUGGUCAGCCCACUGGAUCGUGGCAGCCUUGCAACGAAACACUGCCUAACAGAGAAAAGGGGGAAGCCAAAUCCUGUCCCUGUAAUCGCCGCGCAGGGUCGCAGCCACAGCUCAAGCCUCCUUUGCAGCACGUGGGGCUGCAAAAGUCAUUUAGAAAGGUUCCAGGGGAAAGUUACACGGGGCUACCGGGUACCUGGGGAGUUUCACCAACUGGACCUCGAAGUGCUCUCACGAAAAUUUAUUUGAUUGCAAGUUCCUUUUACGAUGAAACCGCAAAUCAACAAAUUCCAAGCCCCUACUCUGGGACGGUCGAGGCGAAAGAUAAAUUCGUUUGGGAUGGUCUCUGCGAGCGCAUCUUGCGCGAAAUAACCCACCUCAAAUGAAACUAACCAAGGCCAGGAUGAAGGAAAGCAACGUACGCGAGUGACACGUAUCAGAAAUGUCGGUUUCAUGCUUCCCCGAGCGGACUGCUUCAAUUUGUAGCCAUUUGUUACAAAAUAGAAUUAUUCAUACACGUAGGGCUACUUUCUCCCAAACUUUCAGUUAAACAACAAUUACAGGUUUGUUUUGGUUUUGUGUUUUCUUCAGAGCCAUUUCACUGGGGGUCAGUUGUGACUGAUACUUAAAUUUGACUGACUUGAAAGAUGGCUGGGAGAAAGGGUAAGGGGCAGGUUGUUAUUAAAUUAUAUUUUUCUUGCUAGAGAUACCGUCUUCAAAGUUGUACUACUCACUUCAAACAGCUUGUAACAAAAGUCUUCAAAUGCAAGGUGAAAUAUCUUCCCUUUUCCGCCUAAGAACGGGCACCUACCAGGUUCCUACUUUUCCCCGUCCUCUACAGUUUUUCUGAAGAUGAGCAAAUAAACAGACUCCUCUUAGACA
rnacentral:lncRNA from 1 species